GGGGUUGUGACUCAGUGGCAGAGUAUCCACGCACCAUUCAGAAGGUCCCAGGUUUAAUCCCAGGCAUCUCCA
rnacentral:tRNA from 1 species